rnacentral:rRNA from 1 species
AUGCUCUCUGAUGGUUCAGCAGCUACGAUUUGGAGAUUGAAAAAUGGAAUAUACUCCCUCUGUUCCAAAAUAAUUGAAGUUAUAGGAAUUCAGAAGGAACCUCUUGGAGCAUUUCAGCUGGUGAAGAGCUGGGGGAUCUCUAGAGGAAUGAAGAACGACUGGUCACAACAGCGGGAACAGGGACAUCUGCCAGUUUAUCUGUGGUUGUUCAUCACCGAAGACGAGAUAAUACAGUGGCCUAACCACACUUUGGAAGAGCUUAGCUCUUUCUUGAUGCAUGUUAUUAACAACUGUGGGCUGCAAUGCUUCAUGUAA